AGCCACGCGGUGAGCACAAAGCGAACUAUUCUUUCGCCUUUUACUAAAGAAUACCGUGUGCUCGCCGCAAUUAGUGGCAUACGCCUAUUUUUGGUGGAGUUUCUCUGAGUGGAAACU
rnacentral:snRNA from 1 species